UACGAAGGGGGCUAGCGUUGCUCGGAAUUACUGGGCGUAAAGCGCACGUAGGCGGAUCUUUAAGUCAGGGGUGAAAUCCUGGAGCUCAACUCCAGAACUGCCUUUGAUACUGAGGACCUUGAGUUCGGGAGAGGUGAGUGGAACUGCGAGUGUAGAGGUGAAAUUCGUAGAUAUUCGCAAGAACACCAGUGGCGAAGGCGGCUCACUGGCCCGAUACUGACGCUGAGGAGCGAAAGCGUGGGGAGCGAACAGG
rnacentral:rRNA from 1 species